GGGUUGAUUAAUUUUCACAUGGCUGCUCAGGGAGUGGUGGGAGGCUGCUGAUUUUUUUUGGUCUGUUUGGAAAGCUGAAGAUGUAGUUUGUGUUUGCUUGGUGAGUCUUAUGCCAAGCAGCUGUUACCACUCUCUUCAAGCUGGAGUAUCCAGGUGGGACGGACUAUUGCUGCUUGGCUGCCCUGUACAGCAUAUUUCCCCACUGAUGUGGAAGGGAGACUUAUUCUACAGCUUUUUUUGCCUCCUCUCUCCCACUAAAACCAACAGGACAAUUACAAAACGGAAAGCCCUGGUUUUUGCAUUUACAUAUCCUGGGCUGAAAUACAGACAACGUCAUGCAGUCUUACAACCUUUAUUUAUUCAGAUGCCGAUUUACAUAAAAAAGAAUUCUCUGAAACACAAAAUCAUGGUGCCGGAUGUUCAAAAUCACAACAAAUCAUAUGAAAUGUGGGGACAAAAUUCUGCAGAAAUUAAAAUCAUACCUUGAUUGUCUAAUGGGAGCUAAAGCAUGCAAGUGGAAAGAAGAGCCUAUUACUUCCCUGCUAGGAAGAGAGGAAGAUUACUUGAAUGGAGAGCAUCUCCUGGGUUCAAGAAAGACUGAGGAAAGUUGAGGAAUGGCCUCUGACUUGCUGGCUUCUCCUCAAAAAUGCGAACAGAGUGCAGAAGUGUGUGUCUCUUGGCCUCCAUUUCUUUAUUACCUUUGAGUAGAGACUAAAUCCUGAACUUGGGUUUUGAGGAUUCAAAGGCGUCUCUUUCUGUGCUUUGCAGAGCUUUGCUUUGCCUCUUCCUCCCUGCUAGUUUUCAUGUUCCCACCUAUGUCUGGAAGCCUACAAGAGGCUGUGAAGGGCUCUCUGGGAUCGCCCCUGAAUCAGGAGAUUUGCUGCAUCUGGAGCCUGUGUGAGAUGCAGCGCUCCUUUCCCCAGGAGGUGGAAUGUAACAACUCCUUAUGGCUGACAUUUCCCACACUUGCUGAAAGAUGAGGAGAGGCUUGAGAGGUGGAACCAAAAGAUACCACCCUUCUAUUUGAUCACUGGCACCUUUUUCAUGUUCAGCCCUGACUAAUCUUCUUAGGAAGGAGUCUGGGGUUAAUUAUCUGAUGAUUAUACUGGCUUUCUCAAGCAACCCUUUCCAGGCUUGUUUGAGACAGUCAGUAUUCUGUUCCUGAGAAGAAAUGCUCUGUUAGGAAGGUACUGGGCUCAGUCUGUUUUCCAGACAGGGGAAUCCACUAUUCUUCUGUUUGAAUUAUGUUGUUUAUUUAAGUUUCUUGCUCUAAAUAUUUUUCCCCAGAGAAAAGGUUAUUUUCUCCUGCUUUAAACCUUACCACCAGCUACUGGUCUGCCCCAUAAAUGUAAUUUUAUAUAAAAUAAAAAACAGGACCAGAUGAGGCAAGGCACUUCAGUGUCUUAGCCUAGUAAAUGCGAGUGACCUAAUGUGUUUUAGGGGGUUAUACUGUAGAGGUGGUGUACCUACAUCAAUGUUUUCCUCAUUCAUUUUACCGUAGAGAUGUAAUGAGGACUGUUAACAGGAGAUAUACCACUGGCAAGGUUUUUAUUCAGCUUUAAUUGCUCUAAAAUUUGAGAUUUAAAACGGCCUUGCUCCUUUGUUAGUGUGAUGAUGCUCCUAAACUGGUAGGAGUAAAGUUGGCUGGUUCUGCAGAGUCUUGAUGGUUUCUAUGCUAAUUAUCUUAUUCUCUGUUACCACUUUGUCAAGUGAUUGCUGUGAAUUACUUUUGACUGCAUUUAUGGAAAUGUUAACUGCAUGCAUUUAAAUACAUAGGAAUCUGGAUAGUAAAAGGCUGAAUAUUUUUCACUUCCUAUGUGUAUUAUGUUAUGUAUUUAAUAAAAGCAUAAAUGCAUUGAACAACACAAUUCAAAUGUAUAUUAAAAGAAAAACUUUGGACAGUUGAAAGAAAGUGGAUUUGAACAGCUUAGACUUUAAAUUUCCUUUUCUUGGAAUAUUUAUCUUUGUAUGUUCAUUUUGGUGCAUCAAAUGCUGUAAGAUACUUUUCAGCAUAAAAAUUUUCUGGGAUGCAAAAUGUCAUGGCAUCCAAAUAACUAUUGGAUCUAGCAGAAAGGGAGCAAAAAAAAAUUUACACACACUUUACAAAUCCUGCUGUAAUAAAACAAGAAAAAAAUCAUAGCUAUAGUGAGUGUGUAUAAGUACAUUUAUUGAAAUCAACACAAACCCAAAUGGCUAUGAUUAAUUCUGAAAAUGUUAAUUUUCUCAGAAGAAGCUUUUGAGUAUUCUACUAAAUGAAAAUAGUACGAGAGCGGUCACUUGUAUUUUGCAGUGCCAUAAAUUUUCAGUUGUCAGGGAUUAGUUUCCAGCUUUUAUUGUUUCUUAUCUGUGGCAGUAAGCCUGCUGUUCUGAAUUUAUUUUUAUUUCCUUCCUAUAUUACAUUUUGUUGCCAAUUUGUUAGAUUUUUCAUUUCUAAGUGAAGCUUUCAGUCCCAUGCUUUCAGCAAAUAAAUUUUUUAAGUAUAUUGGCUUUAAUGAUUUCAUU